rnacentral:rRNA from 1 species
GACGAACCGUACGAACGUUAUUCGGAAUCACUGGGCUUAAAGGGUGCGUAGGCGGCGCAGAAAGUUGGGUGUGAAAUCCCUCGGCUCAACCGAGGAACUGCGCCCAAAACUGCUGUGCUUGAGGGAGAUAGAGGUGAGCGGAACUUAGGGUGGAGCGGUGAAAUGCGUUGAUAUCGUUUGGAACACCAAUAGCGUAGGCAGGCUUCUGGGUGCCACCUGACACUGCUAGGACGAAAGCGUGGGGAGCGAAUGGG